GUUGAGGGGAAUGCUGUCUGGUUCGAGAUCAUUCUUAUGAAGCAAAGAAAACCGAGGAAAGGAAUGAUUUCGGACCAGGCUUCAUUCCCCCCAGC
rnacentral:pre_miRNA from 1 species